rnacentral:ncRNA from 1 species
GUUCGCGGCGGUGAAAAGGGAAUCGGGUGAGAGGCCCGAGCGAUCCGGUCACUGUAAUCAGGGAGCAAGACGCAGAAAACCAUUGUAUGUCCGCACAUAUGAGAAGGAGCGUUGCGCGAUAAUCUGAGAGCCAGGAAACCUGCUUGGAUGA